rnacentral:lncRNA from 1 species
CAACGAAGGGCCUCAAGUUCCCACCAUCGAUUUGAAGGAGAUAGAGUCUGAUAACGAAAAAGUGAGAGCAAAAUGCAGGGAGGAGUUGAAGAAGGCAGCUGUGGACUGGGGUGUUAUGCACCUUGUGAACCAUGGCAUCUCUGACGAGCUCAUGGACAAGGUCAGGAAGGCCGGUAAGGCCUUCUUUGACCUUCCCAUUGAGCAGAAGGAGAAGUAUGCCAAUGACCAGGCCUCUGGUAAGAUUCAAGGCUAUGGAAGCAAGCUUGCAAACAAUGCAUCUGGGCAGCUUGAGUGGGAGGACUACUUCUUCCACUGUGUAUACCCAGAGGACAAGCGUGACUUGUCUAUUUGGCCUCAAACACCUGCUGAUUACAUGUAAGUACUUAAAAAUCUUAGCAUACUUAAUUGGUGUCACAAUCAUAAACCCUAGUCUAAAAUUUUAAUUAUAUCUCCAAAUUGAUUAAAAUUGUCAAUAGUUAUAUAUAUAUAUAUAUGUGUGUGUGUGUGUGUGUGUGUGUAAAAGGCCCUCCUCCCCACAAGUAAUUCUGGUUCCGCCACUUAACUUUUGUUAACAUCAAUCUUUAAUACCUUGGCAGUGAGGCAACCGCCGAGUAUGCUAAGCAACUGAGGGAGCUAGCAACCAAGGUACUGAAAGUUCUGUCACUUGGCU